GAUGAACGCUGGCGGCGUGCCUAAUACAUGCAAGUCGAGCGAACGGACGAGAAGCUUGCUUCUCUGAUGUUAGCGGCGGACGGGUGAGUAACACGUGUAUACCCUACCUAUAAGACUGGGAUAAUUUCGGGAAACCGGAGCUAAUACCGGAUGAUAUCUUGAACCGCAUGGUUCAAAAGUGAAAGACGGUCUUGCUGUCACUUAUAGAUGGAUCCGCGCUGCAUUAGCUAGUUGGUAAGUUAACGGCUUACCAAGGCAACGGUGCAUAGCCGACCUGAGAGGGGGAUCGGCCACUGUGAAACUGACAGACGACCCAGAGACUUAGGGAAGGCACAGGUAGGGACGCUACGGAAAUGGGCGAAAGCUUGAAGAAGCAACGCAGCGCGAGUGAAGAAGGGCUGCGGAUCGUAAAACUCUGUUAUUGGGGAAGAACAUAUGUGUAAGUAACGGUGCGUAUGUGGAGGGUACGUAUAAAGAAGGCCAGGCUAAACUCGGG
rnacentral:rRNA from 1 species